UAAUUGGAAUAAAUUUGUAAAAUUUAAAAGUUACCUUAAAAUAUCACUGGCUCAUAAGCAGUACAGAGUGGACACAGAUUUGGCACAAGUGAGGAAUAUGAGAUUUAUUUAAUUUAGACUACCAGAAAAUAUUGAAUUACACUACUUGAUUUGAACUCUGAAAUGAUAUCAGACCAUCGAAAUACAUCAAUCAAGCCAACCCGUUUCCAUUGACAUGAUGAUUUGGGAGGUAUUUGAAUAUAAAAGUUCAUCAAUAUAGAAGUGCCCCGAUUUGAUUACCUGUAUCCAAGUGGCACAUAUAUCGACUUUCGCCAACUUGAGUGUCACAUUUGUCUGUAUGUGUGACGAAAUGCGAGAAAGCCGCGCUGGCAUUCCCGUGCGGUAAUAAAAGACCUCCACUCGAAACGAUUAAGGCGGCACAAUGCAGCCGACGACUAAAAAUAGCAGCAACUCAAAUUGAUGCAAAUUAAUCAUGAUUAGUCGGCCGAUGUGAAUACCAGGUAGAAAGAAUGCGCCAUGGGAAUCCCUUUUUAUACACCUGGCGCCACCUAUGGGGUAAAUGGAGAAAGCGCAAAGCGGAAACGGAAGGCUAACAACUGGAAAGGGGUCAAGUUGAGAGCGACAAGUGCGAAAGGCAAACAAAGGCGGACAAUUACCAUAACAGAAUGGCCAAUCCAAUCCAAUAGCACAAUGGAAUGGAACUCAAACAGAGGCGCCGAAAGAGACCGAGAUAGACUGCGAGAAAGAGAUUGCAAAACGCUGGCUAAUUACGCCAAUUACGACAUUUUACACAAAUUGUGGGAACUUUGCUCAGCUGGGCUGGGCUUCGCAGAAUUUGCACGAAUUUAUUGCAGGCAAUUAAGAUCUUAAUUCAAUGAACCCGCUCCCAGUCCCAUUUCCAUUCCAUUCUCAUGACAGGCAAACGGCAUCCUGGGCAGGUGCGUCGAAACUUCUGGCCAGCUUAUCAGCGUGAGACACAAAGGACAGCUCUUCAACCCGUUGUAAAAGUUGGAGUCCAAAAUAAUCAUGAGUAAUUUCUGUGGAAAAAAUUAAAAAUCAUUUAGAUAUUAUUCAUAUAAUUUGUAAUUUCUGAGAAACUUCGAAAUUCUUUAACAAAACGAAAGAAGUAUUUAUACUUUA